rnacentral:sRNA from 1 species
GCCAGGUGUGGUGGCUCAUGCCUGUAAUCCCAGCAGCUCAGGAGGCUGAAGCAGGAGGAUCUUGAGUCCAAUGCCAGCCUCAGCAACUUAGCGGGGCCCUAAGCAACCUAGCAAGACCUUGUCUCUA